rnacentral:lncRNA from 1 species
AUGUUUAAAGGUAUGGCUGCUGUUGCAGUUAAAGAAAGUUGUGCAGAUUCUGUCCCUACUCCCACCAUUGUGUUAGACCCUGGGUACAUCAAUGUUGCUAUGCCUGUCGUAGUACGCUGUGAGUCAACAAGAGGCACAAAGUGCCACUUCUACAAAGACCACGACCCCAACCCAAUAAGAGAAGUGAAUUCCGGUGUUUGCCAAUUCAUAUUGUUCUGGAAUGAGUUCAAAAAGUGGAACAAGACUGAAGUAGAUCUCAGCUGUGCUAUUCUACAGAAGAGAGAAGGGAAAACGAUAUCUUCAGAACGAAGUGACACUCGAAGACUUCAUGUGAGUGAUUCCAUUGGAAUACCCAGGAUUUUUGUGGAAAAUACAGGAACUUAUUUAAGUCUUCGGUGUGAGGCCAAGCAUGCUGGUACCUCAUGCUACUAUUACUUGAACAACAGUGAGUCCCCCUUUAAAAGUCAGCCCUACAAAGACAAUGUCUGUGUUGGGAAAGUAUCGGAAAAGGAUCUGCUGAGGAAGAGGAGCAGUGCUGGAGAGAUCUUCAUCACCUGUGCUGUGGAGCUGGUGGUAGAGGGUGGAGAUAAUGUGACAUCACAGCAUAGUGAACCGUUCAAGAUUGCCAUAGAUGACUCUCCUGGGCCCACCACUUCCUUAUCAACAUUCAGUACCAACAAAACCAGUGUAACUAAUGGAGAAGAGUCCCCCUCGGAGUUCCCCCUCUACAUCAGUCUGAGUGUUGGGGCCUUUAGCCUUAUUCUGCUGGUUGUAUCUGUCCUGUGUUUUCUCCGGUACAAGCGAGGUACAUGCAUUCAAAUACUGAUACUUCAAGGCUUAAUUUGUUCCAAUGUCCAUUCUGAGUUAUUUGUGUAUUAUACAUGUGAAAUCGGGGCUGGUUUAAUCUAUUAUCAUUUCAUAUUUAUUUCUGAAGGUGAUCAACAAGACUGGUCUGCCAAUAGAACCCAAUGGAACCAGAACAAAGAAGUUAUCUGUAAGUAUGAAAGGAAACCUACCACAACAUAUUCAUUUCUCAGAAAAGUGGUUAUAUUCAGUGCUCUACAUUUUACCUUUCUCUUAUUUGAAACAGAUGCAAAUGCUUAA